UAGUCCACGCCGUAAACGAUGGUUACUAGCUGUUUGGAUUUUAUCUGAGUGGCUAAGCGAAAGUGAUAAGUAACCCACCUGGGGAGUACGUUUGCAAGAAUGAAACUCAAAGGAAUUGACGGGGCCCGCACAAGCGGUGGAGCAUGUGGUUUAAUUCGAUGAUACGCGAGGAACCUUACCAGGGCUUAAAUGUAGUCUGACAGGGCAAGAAAUUGCUUUUUCUUCGGACAGAUUACAAGGUGCUGCAUGGUUGUCGUCAGCUCGUGCCGUGAGGUGUCAGGUUAAGUCCUAUAACGAGCGCAACCCCUGUUGUUAGUUGCCAACGAUUAAAGUCGGGAACUCUAACAAGACUGCCGGUGCAAACCGCGAGGAAGUGGGGAUGACGUCAAAUCAUCACGGCCCUUACGUCCUGGGGCUACACACGUGCUACAAUGGUAGGUACAGAGAGCAGCCAGUGGGGUGACCACGAGCGAAUCUAUAAAGCCUAUCACAGUUCGGGAUCGGGA
rnacentral:rRNA from 1 species